rnacentral:rRNA from 1 species
UGGGGAAUCUUCCGCAAUGGACGAAAGUCUGACGGAGCAACGCCGCGUGAGUGAUGACGGCCUUCGGGUUGUAAAGCUCUGUUAAUCGGGACGAAUGGUUCUUGUGCGAAUAGUGCGAGGAUUUGACGGUACCGGAAUAGAAAGCCACGGCUAACUACGUGCCAGCAGCCGCGGUAAUACGUAGGUGGCAAGCGUUGUCCGGAAUUAUUGGGCGUAAAGCGCGCGCAGGCGGAUUGGUCAGUCUGUCUUAAAAGUUCGGGGCUUAACCCCGUGAUGGGAUGGAAACUGCCAAUCUAGAGUAUCGGAGAGGAAAGUGGAAUUCCUAGUGUAGCGGUGAAAUGCGUAGAUAUUAGGAAGAACACCAGUGGCGAAGGCGACUUUCUGGACGAAAACUGACGCUGAGGCGCGAAAGCCAGGGGAGCGAACGGGAUUAGAUACCCCGGUAGUCCUGGCCGUAAACGAUGGGUACUAGGUGUAGGAGGUAUCGACCCCUUCUGUGCCGGAGUUAACACAAUAAGUACCCCGCCUGGGGAGUACGACCGCAAGGUUG